UUCAGUGUGGGAUGACCCCCCACCCAAGUAACUUGCCUCUAAUGAACAGAAUAAGGCAAAAGAGAUGAGAUGUUAUUUCCAUGAUUAGAUUACAAAAGAAUGACUUCUAUCUUGCUGUGUUCUUUCUAUUGCCGUCUUGGCUUGCAAACCUUGAUGAAGUAAGCAAACUACCAUGCUGGAAAGGCCAUGUGCCAAGGAACUGAAGACUGCCUUCAGUCAACAGCAAGUAAGAAACUGAGGCUUGUAUUCCAACAACCAGCGAGGAACUGAUCCUGCCAAGAACAAUAUGCUAUUGCCUUCUUAGCUUAUGUGCUUUAAUGAAGCUAGCUGCCAUAUUGGAGAAACAAACAUGACAAUGAACUAAGAGUAGACUCCAUCUAAUAGCCAGCUAGAAACCAAGGUCCACAUUUCAGUGACUCUCAAGCAAGUGAAUUCUUCCCACAACUGCAUGAAUUUGGAAGCACAUCUUUUCCCAGUUGAGCCUUCACAUGAGACCUAAUCCUGGAUUUUCGUGAAGCACACCCAAGUAUCAACAGCCAAACUGAUCAAGUGGAAGAAAGGGUAUCAGAGAUUGAAGAUCAACUUAAUGAAAUAAAGAUUGAAGACAAGAUUAGAGAAAAAAGAAUGAAAAGGAAUGAACAAAGCUUCCAAGAAAUAUACAACUAUAUUAAAAGACCAAAACUAUGUUUGAUUGGCAUAUCUGAAAGUGAUGGGGAGAAUGGAACCAAGUUGGAAAACACUCUUCAGGAUAUUAUCCAGGAGAACUUCCCCAACCUAGCAAGAUAGGCCAACAUUCAAAUUCAGGAAAUACAGAAACCACAGAGAUGCUCCUCAAGAAGUGCAACCCUAAGACACAUAAUUGUCAGAUUCACCAAGGUUGAAAUGAAGGAAAAAAUGUUAAGGGCAGCCAGACAGAAAGGUCAGGUUACCCACAAAGGAAAGCCCAUCAGACUAACGGCAGAACUCUCUGCAGGCCAGAAGACAGUGGGGGUGAAUAGUCAACAUUCUUAAAGAAAAUAAUUUUCAACCCAGAAUUUCAUAUCCAGCCAAACUACGUUUCAUAAGCCAAGGAGAAAUAAAAUCCUUUACAGACAAGCAAAUGAUGAGAGAUUUUAUUACCAUCAGCCAUGCCUUACAAGAGCUGCUGAAUGAAGCAGUAAAUAUGGAAAGGAAAACCCAGUAUCAGCCACUGCAAAAAACACGUCAAAUUGUAGAGACCAUCAAGACUAUAAAGAAACUGCAUCAACUAAUGGGCAAAAUAACCAGCUAGCAUCAUAAUGACAGGAUCAAAUUCACACAUAACAAAUAAUAACCUUAAAUGUAAAUGGGCUAAAUGCCCCAAUUAAAAGAUACAGACUGGCAAAUUGGAUAAAGAGUCAAGAUCUCUCAGUGUGCUGUAUACAGGAGACCCAUCUCAAGUGCAAAGAAACACAUAGGCUCAAAAUAAAGGGAUGGAGGAAGAUCUACCAAGCCAAACAAAAGGAAAGCCAAACAAAAAAACAGAGGUUGCAAUCCUAGUCUCUGAUAAAACAGACUUUAAACCAACAAAGAUCAAAAAAGACAAAGAAGGGCAUUACAUAAUGUUAAAGGGAUCAACACAACAAGAAGAGCUAACUAUCCUAAAUAUAUAAGCACCCAAUACAGGAGCACCCAGAUUCAUAAAGCAAGUUCUUAGAGACCUACAAAGAGACUUAGACUCCCACACAAUAAUAGUGUGAGGCUUUAACAUCCGAUUGUCAAUAUUAGACAGAUCAAUGAGACAGAAAAUUAAGAAGAAUAUUCAGGACUUGAACUCAGCUCUGGACCAAGUGGACCUAUAGACAUCUACAGAACUCUCCACCCCAAACCAACAGAAUAUACUUUCUUCUCAGCACCACAUUGCACUGAUUCUAAAAUUGAUCACAUAAUUGGAAGUAAAACACUCUUCAGCAAAUGCAAAAGAAUGGAAAUCAUAACAAACAGUCUCUCAGACCACAGUGCAAUCAAAUUAGAACUCAGGAUUAAGAAACUCACUCAAAACCACACAAGUCAUGGAAACUUAACAACCUGCUCCUGAAUGAAUACUGGGUAAAUAACGAAAUUAAGGCAGAAAUAAAUAAGUUCUUCGAAACCAGUGAGAACAAAGACACAAUGUACCAGAAUAUCUGGGACACAGCUAAAGCAGUGUUUAGAGGGAAAAUUAUAGCACUAUAUGCCCACAAGAGAAAGCAGGAAGAUCUAAAAUCAACACCCUAACAUCACAAAUAUAAGAACUAGAGAAGCAAGAGCAAACAAAUUCAAAAGCUAGCAGACAAGAAAUAAGUAAGAUAAGAGCAGAACCAAAAGAGAUUGAGACAUGAAAAACACUUCCAAAAAAUCACUGAAUCCAGGAGCUGUUUUUUUGAAAAGAUUAACAAAAUAGAUAGAUUGCUAGCCAGACUAAUGAAGAAAGGAGACAAGAAUCAGAUAGACACAAUAAAAAAUGAUAAAGGGGGUAUCACCACUGAUCCCACAGAAAUACAAACUACCAGCAGAGAAUACUAUAAACCCUCUAUGCAAAUAAGCUAGAAAAUCUAGAAGAAAUGGAUAAAUUCCUGGACACAUACACCCUGCCAAGACUAAACAAGGAAGAAGUCAAAUCCCUGAAUUGACCAAUAACAAGUUCUGAAAUUGAGGCAGUAAUGAAUAGCCUACCAAAGAAAAAAAGCACAGGACCAGACAGAUUCACAGCCGAAUUCUACCACAGGUACAAAGAGG
rnacentral:lncRNA from 1 species